rnacentral:rRNA from 1 species
CAGCAGCCGCGGGAAUACGUAGGAUGCAAGCGUUAAUCGGAAUUAUUGGGCGUAAAGCGAGUGCAGACGGUUACUUAAGCCAGAUGUGAAAUCCCCAAGCUUAACUUGGGACGUGCAUUUGAAACUGGGUGACUAGAGUGUGUCAGAGGGAGGUAGAAUUCCACAUGUAGCGGUGGAAUGCGUAGAGAUGUGGAGGAAUACCGAUGGCGAAGGCAGCCUCCUGGGAUAACACUGACGUUGAGGCUCGAAAGCGUGGGGAGCAAACAGGAUUAGAGACCCGAGUAGUCCCUGUCUCUUAUAC